rnacentral:lncRNA from 10 species
UACUCCCCUUUCCUUCUGAAAAUUACAAUUGGGAAGUAGAAAGGGGAAAGAGAGAGGUAAAGAAUGCAAACCUGGUCAGGCGCGGUGGCUCACACCUAUAAUCCCAGCACUUCAAAAGGCCGAGGUGGGCAGAUCACUUGAGGUCAGGAGUUCAAAACCAACCUGUCCAACAUGGUGAAAUUCCAUCUCUACCAAAAAUACAAAAAUUAGCUGGGCACGGUGGCACACACCUGUAGUCCCAGCUACUCAGGAGGCUGAGGCAGGAGAAUCGCUUAGAACCCAGAGGCGGAGACUGCAGUGAGCUGAGAUGGCAGUGCCACUGCACUCCAGCCUGGGCAACAAAGUGAGACUCCAUCUCAAAAAAAAAAAAAAUGCAAACCUGAUUUAAGUCAGAGUACACACUAAGAAUGAAAUCCUGAGGUCUAAAGAGGGAAGUGCAGAUGGGUUGGGGCAGUGGGGCAAAGAGUGUGGGAUUGAGUCAAAGGGUUUGGUUUCACAUCUCAGCUUUACCAGUUUUUGGAAGUGUGACUAUAGGCAAAAUUUGAAACUCUUUUGUACCUCAGUUUUCUUACUUGAAUAUGGAAAUGCUAAUGCAUUUAAAAUGCAUAGCAUGGCACGUAAAACAUAAGAGACUUUCAUAAAUUUUAACUGCUAUAUUAUUAUUUAUACUAUUUCUACUAGCUAUAGGUAGAGACAGGAAAGAGCCCGACAAGAACAAGAUGCUUUCCUCAUUCACCAGGAAAAGAACAUCAACAAUUCUAAAAUUUAAGCCCACAGGAGGAGGCACAUCUUUCACUCGACCAUAGACACAAAUGACAUCCAAAUGGAGAUUCCAGCAUGGCGCCACGUAGACUUACCAGUCCAAAAAGCAAUCCCUCUUGAGACGUAGGCUCCGGACCUCUUGGUCCAUACUUCUAAAAGAGGGAAACCCAGCUCAUGGGGAAGACCAGCUCCCCACUCAGUCUAGAAGAUUCUGCACUGUUAUGAUCAUUGUACCACCUCCUACUCCCUCAACCUGGCCUUCACCCUACCUCUCUCAAAGCAGUUGAAUCCCACUGACACUACCCCAGCAGAAAAACUGGAUCAGAUCAUACUGCCUGGUUCCUCUAGGCUAGGGAUAGAAAAUCAAGAUCUUGACUCAACCCUCCAACACAACAAGGGGGUGUGGUGGUGGGAGGAGGGGGGGCAGGGGGUGGUAUUGGAGCUUGCAACCUGCUUCUCUGGGGCAGGAGGCUGGGGAUUAAACAUUAACUUCCUGCACAGCCAGCCUAAAACCAUGGUGGUGAGGAUGGAGAAGCAGUUUUCCCAUUGGUGUUCAGUUUUGGUAGGGGAGCAUUUGUCAAAAAGUUUUUUCUAUUAUUAGGCCACCCCUUUUCAGUCCUCUGGCUAGGAGGAGAGUUCUUAGAGCUUUCUGUUUUACAUUUUUGACCAUUGGUGUUUCCAGGUUGGAGACUUUUGUAGUGUCCUGGCUGUGCACUUGGGAGACAAUAAGGAAACCCAGAGAACUCACCUCUGUGUCAUUCUUCAAUUUCUGCUGUCCCCAUAUAGCCCACCACCUUCAUCUUUCCAUUUUCUAGAGAAUUCCUGUACUGUCUGUUACGUUAUGUUUGGGAUAUUUUAGUUGUGAAGGGGAGAUCUGAAAAGGAAAGGGACUACUCCCUCCUAGUGGAACCAGAACUAAUCAGCUAUGUCCUCCCUCUCUCUCUUUUUCUCUUUCUCCUGUUUCAAAUAAUUUAUUGAAUAAACUGGUGCACUAUCCAAUAGAGCUUCUCGCAAUCUGAAUUUUGCUGAUUAUAACCCUGUGGUGUUUUUUUACAAGUCCAAAUGUCCUAAAGAUUUUCUGAAAAUUGGUAUUUAGAUCUAAAGUCUUGAUUAGAUUCAAAUUCAAUUGUGGGGGUAGUGACCGAGGGGAGGACACAAAAUAAUUCACAUUGGGGAGGAACAUAACUGGUUGCCACUAGAUGAUUCUUGUCUAAAUCUGUUAAUUCAUUAGGUGUUGCCAUAUGACGAUAUUCUAAAUCCGUCAUUCUUUACUUAUUCAUUAGCCAAUGCACUAUCCAAAGAAAAUUUUUCAUUAUUGACUACGGUUAUCCUAGGUAGCCUAAGAGAGACAUCUUUCUCAUUCUUUUUUCUAUUACUCCAUUUUGUGGAUAUACCACAAGUUAUUUAACAAGUACCCUGUUAAUAGGCAUUUAGACUAUAUCAAUUCAUUAGUUAUUAAAAAAAUGCUGCAUUAAAUUGCUUUGUUCAAACCACUUUUUGUAUUUUAGUUAUUACUUUUGGCUUAGAGUCAUAGAAGUGAUUGUCAAGUAGAAGAAUAAAUCCAUCCUUGUCUUCCUAGAUAUUGCCAUCUUCCUCUCCAUGUAAGUUGUAGCACUGCAUUUCAG